UCUCCUUUCCUAUUCCCACCCCUACUGCUAUAAAACAGCACCAAACUUUGUUAAAUCCAAAUUCUUUGGGUGAUUUAAUUAAACAAUGCAAGGCUUAGGAAACUUGUUUUAGUUUUAAAAUCAUAAACUGGGAGGGCUUUUUUGUGAAUGCUUUAUGAGGAAUACCAUAGUCAAUUUUGGCAUCUGAUGUUUUUACAUUGAAAAUAAAUGCUACAUAACAUGCUGAGGUCAUUUAUGUUGAAGGCAACCCAGGUCUCCAGUCCUCAGGCUCUGGGAGAGACAUGGAAAUUGUGGUGAAGGUUAUUAACUUACUGAUCACUCAGCUCAUCGGUGACUUAGGAUAUCACUGUCUAUUUCCAGAGCUUGGAAUUCAGGCCUCUUAAUCAUAUUCUUUGAGACAGGAAAUUGCAGGUUUUAAAUAAAUUUCAUCUCUCACUCUCUGAUUACCAUUUGGCUAAGUUUGAGGGAAGAGACACCUGAAAUAGAUGAACGACAUAUUCAGGCAUCAUGAAUUUUCUUGGCCGUCUCUAUAAUUGUCCAUUCUUUUUUGUACUCUUCUUCUGUAGAGAAGUUGCAAUAUUUUCAAACUUAAGUGUCAUAGAAAACAGAAACAGGGAAGAGUUAUGAAAGGGAAAAGCAAGAGGAGGUUUUGUGGUUUUUUUUUUUUGGUUUGUUUGUUUGGUUUUUUGUUUUUGGUCCAGAAAGAAAACUUCUCAUUGGGUGGGGGACUUUUUCAAAAAUCAUCAUGAGGACUUGUAUUUUUUUCCUUGCCUGUGCUUCAGCUGAGAACAACAACAAUGUAUUUCUCGCAUUCCAUGAAACCAAAUUCAAUUGUUGCUUGGAGAGUCACUGACUCCCUUCACACCCAACCCAUGUUGGAAAACACAAUUUAACAGAAGACUUAGCACCUUAAGAUGUCCUGCAUGACCUUCAAGCCAAAAAUAAAUGCAUCAUAGGGAGCUGCUGAGGGUGUCCAGAGUAACUUAGAAAACGAGAAGGGUAAAAUAUGUUGUUUUAUCUGUUAAAGCAAUUCCAAAAUAUUUAUAGAAAGAAGUCAUAAUUGUUUAAAAUAUUUUCUGGCCUCUCUGGUGUUAUAAUGUUAACAUUAUGCAAGUCAAACGUGGAGAGAAUUGCAGGCUCCAUUUCAACAGCUUUUCCCAUGGCUGGUUUUAGACCCUGGUUCUGUGCCAAAGAAUUGAAACUGAGAUCCUCUGCUAUUCCAAAUUCAUGGAGGUUUAAUCUCUCCUCUCUUCACUAAGGUGACUGGCACUCAAUAUGGCAAGGCCUGAGGAAUUUAGAAAACCCGUGAAAUGAAGAGUAUGGCACAAGAAAUUGAAAAAAAAAAAUGCAUCCCUGAAUGGGAGCUUAGAGCUCAAAUUGCGUUUCAGACCUAGAGAAUCUGCAGAGAACAUAUACCUCAGCUGCUUCAACAGUUUAUUAAACCUUAACUUCAUAAGAAAAGUAAAGAAAAAAUACCAUUGGCUGUUUUUUUUAACAUAAAUUUUAUUGUGUAUAUUUAAGAUUUUAAAAAGGUUGUUAUAAAAUACAUACAUGUAAUAAAAUGGUUACUAUAGGGAAUCAAAUUAACAUGUUCAUCAUUUCCGAUAGACACCAAUACUCACCGCAGCAAAAGCAGCUAUAAUUUACCAUGUAUCAAAACCCCUGAAUGUGAUACAUUAUUAUUAACUGGAGUCCUAACAGCACACAUUAGAUCAUUGGACUUGUGCAUCCUACAUAUUUGCUAUUUUGUCUCCUUUUACCUAUAGCUCCCAAGUCUUCUCCCUUCCCCCAAGCCUGGUAAUACUGUUCUCUAUUUCUAUAUAGUUGACCUUUUUGGUUUAGAUUGAACAAAUAGAUGAGAUCAUGCAAUAGUUUUCUUUGUGGGUCUGGCUUAUUUCACUUAGUUUAAUAUCCAUGUUGUGGCAAAUGGAAGAAUCUCCUUCUAUCUUAGGCUGAAUAAUGUUGCAUUGUGUAUGUGUGUACCACAAUUUCUUUUAUCUGUCCACCCAUGGAUGGACACCUAGGUUGUUUCAUUUCUUGACUGUUUUGAAUGGUGUUGUAGUGAACAUAGGCGUGCAGCUAUCUCUACAAGGUGGUGAUCUCAUUACAUCCCUUAGCUGGUUUUAAUAUUUGCUUGUCAGUAGUAUUUUUUUUCUUUCCUUUUUGUUUGGGGAAAUCAGAGUAUAAGGAAAGUCAAUGGUUUAUAAUAAGCACAAAUCAUUUAUAUUAUCAGUAGUUAUAUAAAAGGAGUAACUAAACAAAGAAAAAAAUUUUUUUUCUUUUGUUCAUGUUGAACUAACUAAAAUUUCAUUAGAAUACGUGGGUUACUACAGAAUAAAAUGGCCCAGGUAUUAAGAAUAGGUAUGAUGUUUAUGUAAGAAGGUGUAGGUGAGCUUGUCCAAGCAUGUGGGUGGUUGUGUAUUUGCCAGUUCUGGCCACUUAUCUAAUAGGUUCAGCCAAAGUUAGUGGGUGACAUGACAUGGAUCACGAUCUCAGAAGACAUUCCUGGGCCAUGUGUUUCUUUUUCUGCCAGGUCUGGAUCAAAUCAUUUUAUUUUUAUUUUCUUUCCCUUUGUAUAAGGCAGACUAAAAAUAGGUGGAGAAUUUUUAAAAAGCAGACAUUACUAUAGUUUCAUUAGCCAUUUUUAAAAAUCCAGUUUGAUCAAUGAAAGGUGUGGCACUGUUGAGAGAGAGAUGGUGAAGAUAUCGCCCGAAGAAAAGUUGCCCAGGAGCUGGGAGAAGAUGACAGAUCUGUAGGCUGGGGGAAGAUUGGCUCUUAAACCUUCAAGAAGGGUUUUUCUUGCUUGGGCAGAUGAGUGAUUAGUAGUAUUUUUGGUCUGAGAGUAUUUUUUAUAUUAAGUCUAAUUGCCCUGUGGGAAAUUUAAUGAGAACUGAACAUUGAACAGUAUCAUCAUUGUAUUAGCUAAAGUAUUGUAAUGGAUAUUUUAUCUCUGUCUCUCAUUCUUAAUAUGAAACUCUAUAUCUGCUCCUCAAAGCAGGUUAGGUAGUCUCAGGGAUAAGAUUUUAUUCCAAAAUCAAGAAUGAUCAACAAUGCCUCAUUUUUAGAGGACUUUACCAGGUUGACCUAUCAAAAUUGCUGCUCCUCAAGUAUUGCUAAUGAAAAGUAGGCAGAAAGAUCCAAUGGAUGUAGAUGUUUUUCAAGGAGUGCCUAUUAUCAACUAAGUCACAUAUCUUUACUACAUCGAUCAGCUUUCAACUAAGGAGCCCCUUAGGCCUCAGCCACCUAUGGUGGAAGUAGGCAAACUCCUUCCCGGAAGAAGUUCAGUAUAGCUGACAUAUUAAGAACAUCCGGAAGUUAACCAGAGCCUGGAUGGCUGUAAAGUCUAGAUCAUGUGAUGAAGGCAAAUGGUCAAGAUGCUUUGAAGUAUUUUAAUAGAUACAUAUUGGAGAAGUUAAAUCAACAAGUUCAAUGUAUAUAUAUUUCUCAAGAAUUUUCUGUUUUCAAAGCUUGAACAGGAGGCCAUGAGGAAUACAAUGAUUUUUCCUUCGAGGGAUUUAUCAUGAGUUAAGAGAUCCAGUAUGUACACCAUAUUAUAUACAAUAUUUAUGUAUAACAUGUAUAUAUAAUUUAUGUACAUGUAUGCAUGCACAUGUAUGUUAGGCAUGGCCUAUAAGCAAAGUUUAUAAUUAGUAUCAUAGCUCUCUUCACAGUAAUUCUGCAAAAGGUGUUGCAUCAUUUUAUACCAGUUAAGAUAAGAAACUUAUAUUUGGAAUAAAAUGUCAUGUUCUAAAGAAACCAGGAUCCCUAAAAUAAUAUUUUCUGUAUAUCUUUGAGCACUCUUUCCAAUUCUAUGAAAACUGACCUAUCACUGAUUUGAAAGAAAAUACUCUUCUGUACUGGUUGCUAAAGGAGCGGAAAUUACAGCACAGAGGGAGGAAAUUUUUAUUUUUAAAGUAAAUCCUACCCCACUACAGUUGAAGCUCUGCAGAAUCCUGAGAGAUUGCCAAAACGUAUUGAAGCUAUUUCAAAAAAGUAUUAGAGUCACAGCUGUAGUUGAUAGAAAGUAUAGGGUAUCUCUAUUAAAUAUUUUCAAAAAUGAAUAAUUCCAGGCUUUGCUGCAUCACUGGAAGUAAAGGAGAAAGCCACAGAGCUUUAGUUUGCUGCUGUGUUAACCAUCAUGCUGGGCAAGAAGCAAUUUUAUAAUCUGUUCUAAUGCAUGAUACAAGUUCAGAUACAUCAGCAAUCGUAUGUCACCUUUGCUUCUGGUAUCACACACUGGCUUUGACAUUGGGAUUCAGUAGGUCACAGCAGACCAGGUGAAGCUACAUGGAUGGUGCUAAAGGGAGAUACGAGCAUUGACCUUUGCAGAUGAUGACACAAAACUGUCUUCCAGCAAGUUAUUAUCCUUUAUGGAUUCAAAGAGGAAUUUUAAAUUUAUGCUCCUAACUUUAAGGAACUCAUAGUUUACAAAAGAGAAGACGGAGAAGUAAACAUAAUUCAUUCAGGAACCUCCUAGGUGAUUAAAAGUUUAGAGCUAAAUAAUAGAACUAUUAGAGUUUCACUUCAGAAAUAAUACUAGUAAUAGGAUAAAAGUGAAUUUGAGAGGGAUGGGUACAGAGAAACAUGAUUAUAAUAGAACAGGGGAGAUAAUCUAAGUGUAAAUGGGUCAAGGAUGGUAAAAACUAAGUGGACCAUGGACAGAGAGAUGUGGAAUAGCAAUUAAUUGGACACUUAAAGCCCAAUUAAUGUGUGGAUUUUUGACUUUAGAUAUUUUCAGUGCCUUCCUACUCCCUCCAUUUCUAAGAUUCUGCGCUUUUAGUUAAAUGUGAGUCAGUAUUAACACUGACUCACUUUUAACAGUGGAGUCCUAGAACACAGAUCAGCCCAUCUAUCAGCAGGGAAGUGCUGAUAGUUACUUGAUAGCAGUUCUCUGUGAGGACCAUGCUGCAGCUGAGUGACAGCCAAGUGUCUCAGUUGCCCUUCUUUAGCACCAUUUGCCAGAAUUCCUCAUGCCUGUGCUCAGCCCGGGUCCCACAUCUUUGCAUGCUGUGGCGUGGCUUAGGCUACUGUGAGGGUCCCCCAUGGGGACAAAGGCCUCAGCUCCCUCUUCAUUGUAGUCUCUGGACAUUCAUGACUGUAUCCCAAGACCAUGACAAAACCCCAAACAUUUUGUCAUUGCUAGAGUAUGUACUUACCUCACAGAAUGCAAUAAAAUAAAAGCAGGAUGCAUUGUGCAUUGCAAAUGCACUGGGCAGAACCUGGGAGGUUGGCCAGGCUAACACAGUAGCUGAAUGACUCCCCCUGUCGAGAAGCUGGCAGUGAGAGUGAUGAGUUUUGUGUCUCAGUUAAUUAGUAAAUGGAAGCACUGGGACCACCCAUGAAUAGUCCCAAUUCACAUAUACCCACAAUAGACUCUAUAGUCGUCCACCUUAGAUCUCAACUUCUCCAGGACAAAAACCUGUUGUGGUUUACAAAAUGUCUUCACGCCACGUUGGUUCAGUAGUCCAAACUGGGGGUCCUAUUGUGUAGAAACCCAGAAGAGGCUGCUGUGAUGUACUUGGUGUGAGGUGCUGGCAAAGAGGAGCUGUUCACAGACACACCUGCUUGUCUGUCUCUGGCUAGAGGCCAACUAUGUAGAAAUUCUUGCAGCUUGGAUCCACCCAGCCAGGUCCUAUAGCUGUCUGCUGAUCCUUGCUACCUAACUUGUCAUCAGGUAUAAUCACCAGCAGCCAUACUCUCAGGGACCACCCUCAUUUUUCACAAGCACCAGACAUUGAAGUCUCAUGUUGGCUUUUCCAGCAACACUCACGUGGGAGUUUAAAUAGUGCUGUCAACAUUGUCAUCUCCAAACCCAGAGCGAGGCUUCUCAUCAUCUAUAAUUAGCAGCAUAAAGACAGUAAUGAUGUGUAAUAUAGACACACUUUGAAAUAUGAUCACACAAUUUGUCAUACAAAGAGAGUAUUCCUUGGUGCUCUGUCUGGUGACUACUAGAUGUACCCAGAGACCCUGGUGCUUGAAGACUUCUUUAGCAUCAGCUGCAAAUCAGUUUUCUCUGGCCUCCAUUUCUCAAUCUGUUAAAAAUAUAUCCAAAGUAUUUCAUCAGAUAUACUUAUCAGGAAUCUCUCUUUCUUUUUAUAUAAGAAGUUAUGGCCUAAGUCCUAAUCUUAACACUGCCUGUAUUGCACUUCCAUGGUAGGAUUGCACAUAUUGCAGCCUGGUGGAUGAUGUCUCAACACUGGAAGAGAUAUUUCAGGAUGAUUUUACAGAAGCUCUCACUGAGAAGAUGGGUACAGAGUUGUGUGAAGGGAGCUGGCAUUUGUCCUGUGUCCCUCUUCUAAAUGAAUUUGAAAUGAUAUCUGUCUUUCAAGUUGUGUGACAAGUCCAGAUUGAGUUUGAAAUGGAUGUGAUUUAAUUGGUUUCAAGUGACUGAUACAGUAACCAUUGCAUAACCUAUGUAAUUAAGUAUUGUGGGUUUGAGACACUAGAUAUUCAGAUCCAUCAAGGGUGUUUUGCUCAGCCCUGUAUCUCCAUCCUCUAGCAUUCCCAUGAGGAUCUUUGUUUGUUGAAUACAUGAAUUAAUCAGCAUAAAAAUCCUGACCUACGACUUCUCCUGUCCGGUGACUUCUCCUGUCCUGGCCUACAGUUGUCACUAAUGUUCUCCAUCUCCAGUUCUGAUAAGUGCAAAGGUUAAAUUAAGAUUUCCUUACAGUGGAGGGGGAACUUGGGGGAAGGUCUGGAAAUAGGUAUGCAACCAUAGAAACUGGCAUUUGAGGGCUUUCCCUGGGCAUUGCAGUUCACUUUCCUGCUGGACUAGAACUCUUCCCUAAACACGAAUGCCUACAAGCUUGAUUUGCUUCCCAAGUCUUGAUGACCACUGUCCAGGUGACUGAACUCUGUCCCCUGUGCACCAGUCACUGACCAGCAUCCUACACUGAGUAACCUGGUCACCCAGAACCAUCCCCCGGACACUGCCCUUAUCUGUGCCUCACCUACCUGAUUAAAUCUCCUCAAAUAUUGACAGACCUCUAGAGAGAGAUAUAAUGAGUCCUGCAGAUCCUAAAUCCAAGUUUUCUCUUACCCUUUGGACAUUGAACUUCAGAUUAUAAAAGACCUUAGUUAGGGAUCCUACAUAUAUAUUCAUCAAUUUUUCCACCCAUUCCCUUAAAUAUCAGAUCUUUCCACUUUUCCAUUGAGAGCCCACCUUGACAUGUGUGACUCUCAAGGUUUAAGUAAAUGUUAUAUUGAGAAAAUUCUUAAUUUCUUGAUCUUUGAAUAUGAAAAAUAGUUUAUAUCCUUUAAAAUUUUUAGCAAAACCUUGCAAAUUUGUCAAAGGAGAAAUAAUGUUUCAAAUAUUUGACUUCUGGAUAGCCAUGUAGAUCUAACAGAUGCACUUUUGUGGAGACUGAAUUGUUGUUUUCACAGGCUGUAUUUCCAGAAAUUGUCUUCCCCCAAAACAAGAGGUCUUAUUUUAGGAAAGGACCACUUUGUAUCUAGAAUGAAAUUAUCUCCUGUUGAAUUUAUUGGGAGGUGAUUUCUCCAACACAUUAGUUGGAAUGGGAUUGCUAAUAAAACCAAAGUCAGAAACCUUUGAUGUAGGGGAAGUCAAUCAGUGCCUUAAAGUAGAUGGUAAAGGGGAAGGCCUGAACUUCUAGGCUGAAGUGAAGAGAAUGUGGUUAGCACUGAGCCUACAGUGUGCAUUCAGUAAAUGCUAUGUACGUCACUAAUGCGUUCACAUGAGCUCAGUUCCAUUAGCCUAAGUUUAUGCAUCAAAUCCAUCUGAGGCUGUGAUCCUGCUCUUGGCUGUCAUUUCCUUGUGGCAGUAGCUAUCAGCCAGAAGCUAAGGUUAUCAGAGAGGCUAAUCAGGCUGCCAUGGCUGAUCCCCAGAGCAUCUGCCAAGUUGCUUCGGGAGCAGAUCAAGAAGAGGAGGUCUCCCAACCAGUCACAGUAGAUUCCAGUUUCCUUCUGUGUUGUGUUCAGGAAAAGCUAUUUAGAUUACAGAUUUCAGAACAUUAUCUUGAACUUUGUCAGAACUGCCUUUGAAUCCCAUUUAUGGAGUAGAACUCUUCCCUAAACACUAAUGUCUACAAGCUUGAUCCACUUUCCUAGUCUUGCUGACUGCUGUCCGGGUGACUGAAUUCUGUCCCCCAUGCACCAGCCAUUGGCCAGCAUCCUACACUGAGUAACCUGGUCACUGAGUAACCUGUGAAGUUUUUUGGUGGAGUUCUCCAGAAGUCAGACACCAAGUUAAAGAUUCAUAUGAAAAUGAAUUAUUAGAAGGUGAUUUAGGGAGUUACUUAUAAAAGAGUAGAAAAAUUUGACAGAAAAGGUAAAGAAACCAAUCAAGCAAUGGUAUAAAAAUAUAAAGUGCUGUCCCUCUGGGGAUGGGGUAGAGGUAGGUAUCUAUCUUAGUCUCCUGGGGAAGUAGAUCAUUCUCAGUUAGUGGUUAAGGGUUAGGCCCAGCCCAGGAUGUAAAUUCCUAGAAACUAUGAGGUCUCCAAGUGCAGGUUUUUCAGCAGUCUAGGGGCAGCUGACAAAGGCAAAAGUGUUGGGUGUUGGGAUUGAAAGCACAUGGGAAAUCUGUGUACGUAGACAUACCAGGAUUGGCAUCAGCAAGACACUGAUAGCAUCUGGUAUAAUAGCUUUGUUAGUUUACAUUCUCUGGGCCUCCAUUUUCUCUUCUGGGAGGAAAUGACUUGUUUAAAGCCUUCAGUGAGAUUGUAUAAGAAAAGGACCCAUUAAGAUAGCACAGGAAAGACACAUUUGUAUUCAAUAAAUGGUAGCUGUUAUUGGUCCCAAUUUGAGUUACUACAAACCUUAAGGCCUAAAUAAACAAACUAAACAGACGUGUAGAAUUUAAUUUAUAAUAAUAUAUGCCUAAUAGAAAAGAGUUUGGUUGUACCAGGAAGGUUUGGAAGCUAAAGAUGAUUUUGAUAAUGACUACAGAAAAUUACCUUGAAGUGAGUUUCAGAUGUUAUCAACAAUAGAACUAAGAUGAUAGCAUAAAAUUUUAUAAAAUGUGAUACUGUUGUGUAGUCAUAGACUUGAAAAUGAAUGUUCAGAUGAUGAGUUUGAUGAAGCCUUACUGCUCUCAUUUUUGUGCUCUCCAUAAAGUUAAAUCAGAUGCAUACAGCAAGUGGGCUGCCAAAGCUGGCUCAUGGUGGGAGUGAUACUGAAAAGAUCAACUCAACGUAACCAGCACUCACCAAAUAUCCGUAGGUCAUAGACAUACACCAAGAGUAGGCAUGGUCCCCAGUAAAUCACUGGGUGGGCUGGGGAUGUGGAGAUACAGAAUUAAAACCAACCAGUUAAAACCAAAUAAUUGCAAUAUUUGAAUUCUAAUUCCAUAUUAAUAUUCUCUUGAAUUCAUUUCUAAGUACUUCAUAAGCAUUAUCUUAGUUCAUCUGCACAGCAGAUAAAGAUUCCAUUAUUACCCCAUCUUAGAUAAGGAUACCAAGAGUCAUUAAGUAAGUAGCCUGCAUAGCUAAUGCAUAUGAGAAGGGUGAGUCCAGCCCGGGCAGCCUGACCCCAGAGUGCACACCACUGUCUGUCAUGUACUGUGAUGUGACAAACACAGUGGGAUAAUAGAGCUGUGUACCUGAGAUAAAGUUAAAUGGGCUGGGCAAGUAGCCAGGCUGUAGAGAUAAGUAGGUAGAGUCAGGCUCCAGUGCACCCUAUGUACAAUUCUAAGGAGCUUGAUUGGGCCUGUGGCAAGGCAGAACUGUGACUAGUUGUAGGAUUAACAUGUGAACAUGGACAGACACUUUCCAAGACACAAAAUCAAGAAAACUUGGAUUUUGGUAUCUAGGAACUUUAGUUUAAAUUUUUUGCCAGAAAUAAUUGUUUUGCAACAGAUACCAAUUGAAAUAAAUUUAGUUGGUUUAAAACAAGACCUCUGCUGGAAUGGCAAGUCAAAUGAUAGCUAAGUGAGUAGGUGUUGCAUAUCUCAUCAGCUUAGCUAAAGAACCAUAGUUAUGGGCUGGGGAUAUAGCUGAGUAAUAGGGCAUUUUCCUAGCAUGUACUAGACCCUGGGUUUGAUCCCUGCACUGAAAAAAAAAAUAAAAACAAAAACCCUCAAAUACAGGAGGAAUUCCAUGCACUGUGAAUCCUCAAAGAAUUGCAUUCAUUAGGUUUAAUAUAGCACCUACAUUUCUAAUGUCAGACCUCAUUAUUUUGUAUAUGAUAUAAACAUCAGAGAAAAUGAUGUUAUUCAUAUUUUGUGUAUUGACAAGAAUAAGUGUAAUAUUUAUAUUAUGUAAAAUGUUUUAUAUGCUUACUUGUAGAAGAAGGUUUUGGUGAAGUGUGUGUAAUUUCUUCAAAGUGAAUAGGCAUUUCUCCCUGAGGCUAGAUUAGUAGCAAAAUUCCAAAGAGAUAGUAGCCACCACCUCUCCUUUGAAAAGACUUGGGAGGUCUAAGGACCAUCCUGUCCUUGUGACUCUUGAGUUUUCUCUUCUGUAUUGUUCAUAGUUCCUCAUGAAUGCAACGGUUGUCAAUGUAAAGGAAACAUUUACUGCCUUACUAACACGUCUGUAGAUUGAGAACACACAUAUAUACUGUUAUACCAUAUGCCUUUGCCUGCUUCUAAAUCUGUACCUCUUUACCCAAGCUUUUCCAUCCUGGGGGAAUUAGAAUUCCCUAUUUUCUACACAGAAUUUGUGUCAGGUAUAACAAUGUUCUUAGACUACUCUUUUGAUGAAAUUAAUCCACACAUAUCAUUUUAAGUGAAGCUGAGCUUAUGAGAACCAGUAUAUACACAAUUCAUUGGCAUGUUUUUUAUAUUAAUGUUUAAGGAGUAAAGGGCAAAUUGUCAGAAAAUACUGUAUUAAGAACUCAUUUUAAAAUGAACUUGGGAUUUUUUUUCUUUACCAUUUAGUGAGCCCAUUUAAUGUUGUGAUGGGAAGAACAACAACGAAUCGAAUCAGCAAUUCUAGGAUAGGAAUCCAGUCUGUCAGCAGUCAGCUGUGGUUAUGAGCAAAAGCUCUAAUUUCUUUAAGCUUGUCUAUUAGUAAAGCUUUUCACAUCUGUAAUCCCAGCUACCUGGGAGACUGAGGCAGGAGGAUCACAAGUUCAAGUCCUGCCUGGGCAACUUAGCGAAGAGACCUUAUCUCAAAAUAAAAUAAAAAGUGUUAAGAUUGUAGCUCGGUGUACAGUGCUUGCCCAGCAUGUACAAGGCUCUGAUUCAAUCUCCAAUACUCCCCUCCCAAUACACACACACACACACACACACACCCCUAUUAAUAAAGCUUUUCAAAGAAAAAAAAUUUAAUUUGUCCCUUUCAACUUCAAAAUUAUUUUUCUAUUAAUUCAUAGAUUACAAAUGUGAUUCUCUGGAGGAGAUUCCCUCAUGCAGACUUUCUUCUGGCCUUUGUCUGGUCUUUGUUGUCAUCAGUGACUCCAGUGGAAGACAGGCUAGCCAAACCUGCAGGGGAUGCAAAGCUAAGGCUAGCUAAUGUGCUGAGCAGGAGACGUAGGGUUCAGAAUAUCCUGACAGCCCACAGCAAUGGCCCAAAAUUAAUGUUAAAUUUGAUAAGGAUAAAUGCAAAGUCCUGUAUCUAGGUUUGAGAAACUCAGCUUCUUAAAUGAAUGAAGUGGAAGUGAGAGUCCUGACCUACAGCAAAUCCUCUAUAAAAGAUGGAAAGUAUUUGGGUCAUUGCAAGCAUAGUAUAGCUAGCUUGUUCGGAAGACACUGUCAGAGCAAGUGACGAGGCUGCCCUGAAAGCAGUAGAGGCCCUGGGAUGUGGAAAGCACCGCUGCUCUGGUCUCUGCACCGACAGCAGCUACUGAGAAUAAUCAGAGUUCCAGACAUCGUGAUUCUAGAAGAAUGUAACAAACCUAAACAAACAGGGCUAAUGGUAAAGGUUCUUGAAAUCACAUUGCAGGAGCUGGAGAUGUUUAGUCUGAGGGGUGGUGAUGAGGGGGUAAUGACGUGAUGUUUGCUUUCACCAUUUAUCAUGCUGCAGAAGACUUUAACCAAUUGUGUUUAGAUAGCAUGGUAAAAUAGUGCAAUAAAUCACAAAGGUAGCCUUUGGAAAUAAAACAUAUGCAUGGAAGGAUUUUAGCUCUAUCAGAUGUAACUCUCUGACUCAGAAAAUUAUUGAACUUCUCAGCACUCCUAUUUCUCUUUUUUAAAAAAAUUGCAAAUAAAAAUUACAUUUAUUUAUGUUGUACAGCAUGGUAUUUGAUAGGCAUACACACUGUGCAAUGAUUAGAUCAAUAAAACUAACAUAUCCAUCACCUUACAUUCUUACUUUUUUUGUGGUAAUAACAUUUAAAUUUUACUCUCUUGGCAAAUUUUAAAUAUCCCAUUAUUAUUAUUUAUCAAUGUGCUUUAUAAUAGAUCUCCAGAACUUACUCUACCUAACUGAAACUUUGUACCUUCUGAACCGUCCCCUCCACAUUCCCCACCCUCAGCCACCAGCAGCCAGCCUUCAACCCUAUUUCAGGAGAUUAACUUCUUCAUAUUUCCCAUAUAAAUGAAAUCAUGCAAUAGUUAUCUUUCUACGCCAGCUUCUUGUCCUCAGUUCAUCUAUGUUGUUGCUUGUGGCAGAAUUUCUUUCUUUUUUAAGGCUAAAUAGUAUUUUCUUUGUCCAUUCAUUCUUGCUCAGAAAGCCACAAAAAUUAAAUGAGAUAGCAUGUAAAGUACUGGCAUAGCUACGGGAAAGUGUGGGGUUUUUAGUGGAAACUAAUCUUCUUUUCCUUUACCUUAUCAUCAAGAGAGGAAGAAUGAGGAUACUAAAUUACUGUUCAAAGAAAAUACUUUAUGUUGAUUACAAUUGUUUCAAAGUAGAAUGAAUGAGUUGCUAGGUCAGAGGUGGGGUUGCAGAGUUGAUCUGCAGGGGCACUCUGGUGCCUCAAUCUUGCCCAAAUACAGUUUCACAUAACAAUUGUUUGGAUUCUACACAGUGGGUUUCUACCUAAUAUUCCGUUUGAACAAAUAAAUCAGAAAAAUUUUUAAAAUGCAGAAAGUCAGUGAGCAAGAUGAUCCCUCUGGGUCUUUUCUUCUCCUUGGACUGUGCUUUUCUGUAUGCUUGGAACUGAUAUUCUCCGGGACAUGUUACGUUACUGCUGGCUCCUGAGCUGUGAAAAGAUCCAUGGGUAUUUCUCCAUUCUGUCAAUUCAGGGGAUUGUUUUAUAAGUAAUAGGAAAAUGUGCAGUUGUGACAGACAAAGGGGUUUUCUGGCUACUUCUUUAUAGUUCUCUACCUGACUGCAGGACCAUCGCCUUAUGUCUACUCCCCUGUGCUCAUGUGUGGCUUUGUCAAGGCAGUCAUGGAAUUAGCUUGCCAGUAUUUUAACUCUGGAUAGUCUUUUAAACAGCUGGUGUCUAAGUCCGCCUACUUCUCUCUAGCUGUUCUCCUAGGAAAUUUAAUUAUAAGAAACAGCUGAACUUAUCAAUUUUCUAAGAGAUCUUAGACAACGGAGUCAUUGUUCUUGAAGUACCCAGAAGUACCCAGGUGCUAGCUACACCCAAGUGAAUUUUCUAAAGAAACAAGGAUGGCAAACCAGACAUUCAUCCUAUGUCAGUGAUUAGGAGGCAAACCACAAACUUGCUCUUCCCAUGCUUUGGGUUAGUUUGUAUGCAUUUGAGGAAGAUGACUCAUGAUAAGAAGUUUUAUAAAGUGCACUUAGUAAUUUCUUAUAGGAUUCAUUUGAUCAGACAAUCAUUUUGGGCAGGAGCUUACAAAACAUAUACAGAUUCAAAGAUUAAGUAUCUAGGUGAGGAUUUCUCAACCUUGACACUGUGGCCACUUCAGACCACAUCAUUUUCCUGGGGUAGAGGGUGUCCUGUGCAUUGUAGCAUAUUUAGCAUGUCCUGUACAUUGUAGCACAAUGACAUCCAUGACCUCAACCCACUAGAUCACAGUAGCACUGCCUCCUUAGUUGUUUCACCCAAACUGUCUCUUAACAUUGCCAAGUGCCCUGUGGGAGUCAGAGAAGUUCUGUUUGGGAACCAAUCACUGGUCUAGAUCCAGUGGCUAUGUGUUGAACUGCCCAGGAUUGUUGUGGAGAUCAAAUUAGACAAAACUUGUUUAAACGCUUUUAAUCUGGAAGCUCAGUAGAAAAAAGGAAAAGAAGUCAGGGGAAGUCUCAUGAAAAUUGAAGGGAUAUCAGUGGAAUACAAGAAAGAGGCCAGGGGGCUGGGGCUGUAACUCCGUGGUAGAGUGCCUACCUUGCACUUAUGAGGCACUGGGUCUGACCCUCACCACCACAUAAAAAUAAAUAAAGAUACUGUAUCCAUCCACAACUUAAAAAAAAAGAAAGAAAUAUUAAAGAGAAAGAAAGAAAGAGUCCAGGAAAGAAGAAAGGGAAAGGGGAAAUACUGGGGAAUGAUAUUAGCCAAAUUAUAUUGUUGUACUGUAUACAUGUAACAAUAUGUAACAAUAGAUCCCACCACUAGCACAACUGUAAUGCACCACUAAAAAAUAUGGAAAAAAAAUUUAUAUUCCUAAAAAUUUUAAAUGUUUUUAAAAGCAAAGCAAACAUUUAUAUACAUGUAGUUACAGUACAUCUAUUAUCUUCUCAAUCAUUCGUUUGUUCAUUCAGUUGUCUUAAGUUUUUUUGAGCCAAAUGCUGGAAACUCAUAAAUAAAUUAAGAACUAUGAUAGGCUCAAAUAAAUUAAGAGCUAUGAGAAGCUCCAAAUAAGAGGUUAGAAAAAGAGAGCUCAUGAGAGAUGCACUACAGUGAGUGCACAUAUAUAACAUGCACAAAAUAUUUCAGAAGCUCCAAGAAAGGCAGGGUUGCUUCUGAGAACGACCAUAGCAAACCAGUGGACCAUGCAGCCGAAGUUGUGUGUAGCAUUAGCAAUUGACUAAUUGUGACUAGAGCCCUUUCAUAUGACGCCAUAUAUUCAUGCAGUUUUACUCCAAGUCUUUACCUGUUGACAGUCGGUAUUAAGCACAGCUUGAAGUAUUAUCAUUUAUCAGGGCCAGUCUUGAAGUGGCAUCAAGUGUGAAUGAGUAACUUUAGACUUGAAAUUGUCACAGACAGCUGUUAUUUUUUCCCUGUCCUUCUUUUUGCUCAUAUCUGUUCCAAUGAUAGCAAAUAAUCAAAUAAAAACAGAAGCAAAAAAUAAUUUCAAGCCAGAUUUCUUUAAGUAAAGGAGUAAACAUCAGAGACAUCAGGGGAUAAUGCUGGAUCAAAGUAGAAACUCAGCUGUGGGCAUGUUCCUCAAGUGGAAGAAUUGAGUCUGUUUUAGUUUUGUUGAUUCAAAAAGAAACACUCAGAGCAUUAUGAACACCUGUUUUUAAAUUCUAAAUCUGGCAUUGUAUAUAUAGAUCAGAAUAAUUCUAAAGCCUGAGUGAUUAAACUUUUAGUUCCAGGGAGAUUAGGAUGAUCAUCAUUGAAGUACCAGAAUUUCCAAAUUUUAUUCCAGGGUAUUCUACAUUAAAUAUUUCUUAAUAAGGAAAUUCCACAUAAAAGCCAGGGUGCCUGCUGGAGCCACAUUUAUAUUAAAGACUUUAGCCUGGUCCCCUGUAAACCUCCCCUGCAAUUUUACCUAGUUCAUGUUCCAGAGGUACUCACAGGUUGCCUAGAACAAGAGUUGUUAGCUUUAGCCUGUGCUGCGCUAAUGGUUAUGAGUCACAUUUGUUUUGGAAGAUCACCCUUAAAGCCUGCCACUCAUGCUUGUUUAUGAGGAAUGCAACAACUUAAACAUCACUUAACAAAUCCUCAUGAAUGCACAGUCACAUCUGAGUGCUUCCAGCAAAUGCUUCCUGUCAUUUCUCCCUCAACAGCCUAGAGAAAUUAAAGGCUGAUGGAGCAACUGAAAGACAUCCAGGAGAGCUUAUUAAAAGAAGCAUGGGAGGGUAUGAUAACUGCAAAGCCAGCUGUUGAAACUAAUAUAAUUGGGGUAAGAUUAAAUUUCAUCAGUCUUAAGAGUGCUUUUUACCACCAGAGAAAUCAAUCCACCUUAUUUAAAGUGAUGCUAAUAUGGGUCAUUCUACAUAAGGAACUAUCUCAUGCCUUUAAAAUAAUCAUGCCGUGCUGAUUGUUUUAAGCAUUACAAGUGAAACAAACAGCUGCCAGGUGGAUCUAUUGGUAUACUCAGGCUCCUUGUAAAAAUUUUCUCAACAUUAUUUUUAAAUCUCAGUUUGAUUACACAACCUGCCCUCCAUGUACAUCAACUGUGCAUCCUUGGAUUCAAUCAAUUGCAGAUCAAAAAUAUUCUUUAAAAUAUUUCAUCUAUACUGCACAUGUGAAUUUUUGCUUUUCAUUAUUCCCUAAACUCCAACAACUAUUCACAUAGCAUUUGCAUUAUAAUUGGUACUGUAAGUAAUCUAAAGAUGAUUUCAAGUAUGAGGAAUAUGAAUAGGUUAUAUGCAAGUUAUAUACCAUUUUAUAGAAGGGACUUGAGCAUCUAUAGAUUGUGGUCUCUGUGCAGGGUCCUGAAACUAAUACCCCUGGAUACCAAGAGACAACUGUAUUUGCAAUAUGAGAAACAAAUAUACCUUAUUUAGGCAUAGUCGUGUGUUGAUAACUUUUAUGUGGCAACUUACUAUGACAAUCAAAUCCAUAUUAUGCUUUAUAAAUUAGGAACUCAUUGGACAUAUUUAUGUUUUUUUCUAUGGGGUGAACUUGUUGUCUUCAACUUCCCUCACUUGAAAAAGAACCUGUAUUUUUCAUAAAGCUACCAGGAAUUAAUUUAGUCAACAAAUAUUUAGUGAGCAAUUACUAUCUCCCACAUACUAUUCUAAGUGCUUGUAAUGCCUCAGUGAACAAAAAAAAAGAAACCUCCUACUGACAUAGAGUUUCCCUGAGCAGGACAUGGGGGGUGGGAGGCGGAGAAGGCACAAAGGUGAGGUGGAAAAUAGGCUGCAACAAUAAUAACUAAGUAAAUUAUCUGGUAUUUCAGAAAGUAGAAAGUGCUGUGGAAAAUUGCCCCAUUUGUUCCUUAUUUGAGUAUACCCCAAAGUUGACUUUGACUAUAUGAUGUCAAUCUCCUAGGCAAUAAAUGUUAGAAUCUGAUUUAAAAUAAUUUAAAAGUAAACUAAAUGUCUGUGUUCUCUCUGUCUGGAAGCUUCAGAACCAAUCCUCUCUGUUGAUGAAGAAACUCAGGCCCAGAGGGUUUGAGAACUUACCGAAGAUUCAAAGUAGUUGCAGGCAGGAGUGGGACCAAGACACAGCCUCCACCCCCAUGUACUUUCUUCCAUAGUUUAGCAUUUGACAACAAGCAACCUAGUUGAUGGAAUCCAUUUGAAAAACUGGACCGUUUCUUCUCUCACUGCAGAAAAACCAUCAACCUAGAGAAGGUUUUUGCAGGGCCUUAGGAAAUCACAAGGCUCUUCUUUGUGGUGGAAGUGUGGCCCCUGAGUCAUGCACUCCCAUCCACCUUCCUUACUCACAAAUUAUAACUGAGUGCUGAAAUUGCCUUUCCAGUGGAGCACUGGAAUGCAAGGUUGGGAUGAGCCCACUUAUGUUGCGGUCACAGGCUUCACAAGUCCCAUACCUGCAGUCACAGGCUUCUCUUUCUUUUUCCUGUCUCCUGUCCUGUUCUGUGCAUAACUUGAACAUUGCCAUCAUUCUUAGAAUUCCACUAAGUUCUAUGAUAAAAUUAUUACUUAUAAAUCCUGAGUAAGGAAAGUUUUGAAAAGACGCUGCACAUUAUGAGUCAUAAAUUACAGUCAAAAGUCAUGGAUUCUACACUUAACAACUUACUUUCCCUAAUUGUCAGUUGGGUUUCAAAAUCUUUCUACUUACAAGAUUGUUAUAAGAACUUAAGGGUUAAGAGAGAUUGUGUCUGUCAUAGCACUCUGAAAACUGGAAAUUGAAACUCAGUUCAGUUACUGCUGCCCUUUCUUUCUCUGAAGACAAAUUGCUAGAGGAAUAAACAAAUUGUUAUGGUUUAGAUGUGAUGUGUUCCCCAAAAGCUCACGUGUGAGACAAUGCAAGGUUUGGAGGAGAAAUGAUUGUGUUGUAGCCUUAACAUAAUCAAUGAAUUUAUCCCUGAUGGAACUGAGUUAUAACUGGAGGCAGGUGGGGUGCGGCUGGAGGAAGUGGUUCAUUGGGGGCGUGGCUAUGAGGUAUAUAUUUUGUAUCUGGAGAGUGGAGUCUCUCUCUCUCUGCUAUCUGAUCAUCAAGUGAGCUGCUUCCCUCUGCCACACUCACCCACUAUGAUGUUCUGCCUCACCUGGAGCCCCUGGAGAAUGGAGCCUGUUGUCUAUGAAUUGAGACUUCUGAAACUCAUUUACCCGGAUUCCACCUCUUCCAAAAGAAGAUAGUUCUCCCCCUUCUUCCUCAACCUUUGGAUUUUUCAGAUCUUGCAAAAAACCAACAACAACAACAAAAAAAACAACUUAGGACCUUCCAGUCAUCAAGCUUAAAAGGCACUUGCUUGAACCAAAUGUCGACAGUGUAAAGGGCACUGAAUUGAUGUGUUCUCUAAGACCCUCUGAGGUCUUGAAGUAGUUUUCUUUUACCCAGGAAGCACUGAAACUAAAAGGGAUUAAGAAGAUUGUAGUGCAUCACACAGCAAGUGGAAAAGCUGCAACUGGAACUCAGUGUGGCUGAUGGAAAGCCCUCCUAUGUACCUCUAAUGUCUUUGUAAAGUGUUUAGUGAAUGUUUGGUCUUCUACUUAGUAAGGCUGAACUUAUAACUCCAUGUUAUAGCAAUUAAUAUAUCUCUCAUUUUAUGUUCUUGCAUCCAAAAUUACUUAGCAGAGGAACUUGGUAGGAGUAAGUUCUGAGAAAAGGUUAAGACAGCAAAAGCCACACAAUCGAUGCAGAGUUGAGAAUGGAUUUCACAGGAUUGAUGCUAUGUAUUUCUGCUCUACGAAAAUUAAGUAGUUAUCUCUCUUAACUACCCAGGAGAAUUUCUAGUCCAAAUACUGAUGUAAAUAAACUGUGUGUGUCUCUGUGUGUGUCCAUCACCACAGGACAUGAUCCCUAGCUUAAAUUUUCCCUUUUUGCAUGCUAUUUUUUCGUAGUGUUAUCAUUAAUUUUAUGUUAAUAUAUAUCUUUUCCUCAAAAACUAUAAGCUAUGUGAGAUCUCAUUUGGCUGAUUUUUUUUCUUUCAUUACCAUUGUAUAUCAUUAUUGUUAUUAGAAUACUCUCAGACAACCUAUUCGACUUCUUAAUUAGAAUGUGCGUGUACACACACACACACACACACACACCUCCCCCCAUGUUAGAAUACAUAGCUCUAUGUAAAUAAAGACCACUUUGAACCUCAGAUCCAUUCCUUACUCUUUGUGUGACCAGUAUAGUAUGCAAAGAGUGAUAAUUAAACUCUUGAUUUCAAGUCCUUCUCCUACCAUUUUUAAAUUUCGAUACAUUGGCCAGGUAAAAACUUCUGUGAGCUUCACAUGUACUGGUGAAACCAGGAUUACAUGACAUAUUAUCUCAACUAAGCAAGCUCAUCGAAGGGAUUCCUCAAGGGCCUUUGCAACUCCAUGAGCUAUACCUGGAUUUGCGUAAUAGUUGAAGCCCCUGAAGAGUUACAAGAAAAUUGUUUUAAUUAAAAUUAAAUAGCUAUGGUCAAAUCUGUUCUUCCACUGGCUUGCAUGAAUGAUGGGUUGCCUUCUUUCUCACAGAUACUCAGAGGAUUCCUUCAAUCUGGUUUUUCUCUACUGUGGUUUUAAAUUCAUAAGUACUCUAUAGACAAGCAUUAAACUCUCAUAAUUAAAGGGCCUCUACCUAAGCCUUUUAUAAAACAAAUAUGCCUGUGUAAAUAAGGACAUCUUAUUUUAUUCAUAUUUGUGUGCAUUCAGGUUUUCUGGUGUAGGGUGUAUCUGAGUAGAUGGCUGAAGGCCGAGCUCCAGGUACCCAGCAUUAUCCAAGCCCCCUGCAUGGGAACGGUCCAUACAACUUCCUGUGUUCCCUUUCCACAGCCUUGAGGGGAUUGUAGGGUAUAAAAAUAUAGCCACACAGCCUUUGAUGCACAUGGUUUGUUGUUAUUAUUAUAGCUUCUUAUUUUAAAAUCCCAACUUUAAAAAAGUAUAUCUCCUAAAGUUUAAUCAUCAUGAAGUUCCAGAAUUCCAAAGAAAGCUAGAUUUUUAUUUUUAUUUUAUUAAUUUUGGUAACAGGGAUAGAAUCCAGGGGCGCUUAACCACUAAGUCCCAUUCCCAGCCCUUUUUUAUUUUUAUUUUGAGAUAGGGUCUUGCUAAAUUACUCAGGGCCUUGAUAAGUUGCUGAAACUGGCUUUGAACACAUGAUCCUCCUGCCUCAGCCUCCAGAGCCACUGGGAUUAAAGGGGUGUGCCACCACACCCAGCUAUGCUUUAUCUCUUGAUAAAUAAAAUAGUAAGUAAGGGCUGGGGUGUAGCUCAGUGGCAGAAUGCUUGCCUCGCAGGUAUGAGGUGCUGGGUUUGAUCCUCAACACCACAUAAAAAUAAAGAAAAGGUGUUGUGUCCCUUUACAACUAAAAUAUUUAAAAAAACAGAAAAGGAAAUACUAAGUGAAUUUACAAAAGAAAUGCCCAUAAACAAACUUGAAAAGAAUGGCGUGUGAGCUAGUAAGGUUGAGAGAGAGGUUAUCUAAACUAGCAGUGCUAACCUGCUUAGUACUGCAGUAGCUGUAUAGCAUGUGGUUAAAAGGACAGUCUGGAUUUGAAUCCUGCUUUGUCACCAUUAGUUGUGUAAACUCAAUGAAGUUGCUUCACUUUCCUCUGCCUCAGUUUCCGUAGCACACAGGUUAUUGUGAAGACUAAGUUAAGUCAUAUAAAAAAAAAAAACUUUCACAAUUAUCUGGUUCACAGAAGCUCCAUCAAUAUGGGUGAGCUAGUAUUGUUUAAAAACUAAAGAAAGAGAUCCCAGAAGCCACACAGCUUGGUGGGAUUCAGAUACACGUUUUCCUUGCCUCCUUUCCCUCCGACCCCACUUUGUUUACUUCCCAACCUGCCUCUGCCUCCUAUUUCUCUUCCUUCCAAUUUGGGAAUAGCCCAUGAAAAUGUUUAAAGUGAAAAAAGAGUUGAAUACUAUUAAGGAUGCCAGCAUCUGUGAUAGUUAAGUAUACUUUCCAGCUAAAGUAACCGUAUCCAAACCAUAUGGGUUUUAGGGCAAAAAAACGAAAACAAAACAACAACAACAACUUAUUUCUUAGGAAAAAGGUUUAACAUUUUGAUGGGUCUGCCUCUCUGAAUGGGUAUUUCUUCUGGAAGAUGGAACUUGCCUCCGUGAUGAGAUAAGAUGGUUGGACUUGGAUCCAAAGGACCAGCCUUAAGGGAGUAUCUUACAUACUCUUAGGACAAAAUUCCCUCUGCAAAGUCCUCUUGUCCUCCUCCAUCACAGGUUGUAGUAGCAGCAGUUUGUACAGGUGACACAUAUGAACAUAUAAAGAAGGUCAAAAUGCAAAAGAAAAGUUGUCCCUCGGGACCUUUUGCAGUAUCUCCAAUCUUUCUGCUUUUUAUCUGCCUCACCAGGGCCCCACUGACCUCAAAGGUCCCCUGUUGCCAGGCCAUGAAGGACAUUUGAGCCAGAGGGCUGGGACCACAGCCAAAGCUGAUGAAGGUGCAGAAUGUAUGACUAAAAAAAGCCCAAACACAUGGCACGGGGUAUAGCAAAUAUGUUUGGAGAAAUGGUUUAUAAAUAACAUAGAAAGGGGAAGGGGGUCAAGAGUCAAGAUAUUGAGUUGUCCCGAUACUUGAGGUCAGUCUCACCAUUUCUAAUCCUGAACCCGAAUUUGCACACAUUAAAAAGAAGAAGGGGAGGGGAAAAGGCUCUAGGCUCCCUGAAAAAAAAGCAACUCCACCUGGGCUCUUUCCCCUUUUCUUUGUCAAGAUAUUUGUUAGUUUGGCAGUAAGCGUUUUAAACAGGAUCUCUUUCAUUUGGAAUACAGUAAAUUAAAAGAUAUGCUUCUACAUUUCAGAAUAAUCAGAUGAACAAGGAAAGAAAAUAAAGCAAGAAACAACUCACAAAUAGGCUUUAUGCUUUUCUGAGGGUGGUCUAAGGCUAGGAUGCUGCAGAUAUUCGAGUAUUUAAGGAUGUUUUAAAAUAGUUCCCAUCACAGAGGGUGGAUGAGCUAAUGAUAGAAGGAAUAAGGAAAGAAGUUAAGUAAUCUGGGAUGGGCUUCUUCUUCUUUUCCCUUUUCUCUUUCUGAUUGUUUCUCUUGACAAGCCUGAAGGUAUCUCAAUUCUGGUUCAGAACUACCAAACCCCAGGGGUCAACAUCUGGAAGCCAGAAGCUUAUCAGUGGUCUCAACUCCUCCUCCCUCCUGGGGAGCCCUGACAAACACAACUACUUUCUUUUCCUGUUUAGUGGCAAAGGUUUGGCUCCCUUUUCUUUCAUAUGGGAAUAUGAACUUUGGGGGCUUUUGUGGCUCUCUUAUUUAUUUUUUGAAUAGACAAAUUCUUGUUCCUCUCACAAGCCCUUUCCUUGGCACGGGGAGACCACAAACCAACUGUGACUUAUAUCUGUCCAAGGAAGGGUAACCCAUUGGUUAAAGACAGGCUUCUUAUAAGUGAAUGAACUUAUUUUUGGUUUUUUGCCAGGCAUAUUUCUUUACUAGAGAGCUGAAUCAGGAAGACCAGGAUUUUUGGUGUUAAUGUAUACAUUAUUUAAAAUUUUGGCAGUUGGCUUUCUGGUUUGAAUCUCAUUUUCAAAAUGAAAUUUAUGCCUUGAGUCAGAUCAUACUGAUACAGCUCUGAAGAUGCCAGGAAAAAUUCUGUGAUUGCAUUUGCAGCUGCAGGCAAGGCCGUGGCACGAGGUGAGAAGAAGCACCUUCUACUUAAUGCAGAAUUGUGAAUUCAAACUUCACAUUUUCUCUAAAUCAAACGGUAUUUUGUUCAUUUCAGUACAUUGAUUGAGUCAAAUAGGAAAUUCUUCUCUUUUAUGCUCUGACAGAAUUAAGUUCUUAAAAAAAAAAAAUCCAUGGAUAAGCAUGGCUUUCUUUUUUUUUUUUUUUUUUGUAUGAUAUCAAAGCCUAUAUAACAAAAGCAAUUUCAGAACUUUGUGACUUCCCCUUGAAGGUCAUGCCACAGGCUAUUGUUCAUGAUUCUGUAAUUAACUUCUUGUGUUGUUUGUUUAAUCAUCAGUGCAAUCAUUUUUGUAAUUAUUCAGGCCAUGACAAUAUAUUUAUUGACAACAUAACAUAAGAGAUGACAUCACCUGUUCCACUGAAAUUGAGAAACCUUGAAUGUGAACACUCUCCUAACAGCAGUUCAAUAAUCCAUUCAAGAAAGAAAAGAAAGUUCUUAGUGAAACCACAUGGGUUUCCUUUCUAGGUGCAUGGAGACAAUUUAAAAAUUCAGUCUCAAAUGUUGCUGGGGAUGCAGGCCAAACCUAUAAUUUUAAGAUUGGACCUUUUUAACCUGUUCAACCUUGGGAUACCUCUUAUCUUUCCCCUAAAAUUUCUCGGCAAUAAUCACUAGUGUAUUGGAUCAUUUAUGUUUUCACUGUCUAGGAUAUAGCACAUCUUCAUCCUGAAUAUGUGAAUUUAUUGUUAGCUUUGACAAUGUGAUAUACGGGUCUAUUGUCUUUAGACUUCAGGUCACUGCACUUAUUCUGCACUCUCCAGUCUUCAGAUUAUUGCCCUUGACUAUGAAGAAGAAAAUUCUGAGUUUCCCUUUGCUAUCACUUUCUUGUCUGAUUUGAAUCAUCUUUUUUGUUGUUUCCAUAUUAUUUUGGUAGAGUUUUGUGAGAUGAGACAAAACUCAGCUUUUUACUUUGCCUUUUAAAUGGAAAAUCUCUAAACUGUUGAUUGUGUCACCUUUUAUUUAAAAAACAGAUAUAGAAUACAUAGGUAGUGUGUAUGUGCACGCAUGUGCAGGUGCUUAGUAUUAACUUGGCCUCUGUCUUCUAGUACAACCUGAAUAGUUAAAAGGUCUUUUAUGAAAUAUGUAAAAGAAGUGAAAUCUACCCAUGCAUGAGGUUUAAUUGAAGGUAGAGAUGAUUCCUUUGGGUUAUUAUGCUUAGGCUAAUUAAUAAGUCUCAAAUUAUAAUCUAUAUGUAACAAAUAUAUAACAAUGUUAUCAUUGCUUGGCAAGUCACAAUACAACCCAAGUCGUCAACUUCAGUUGAGAGGGAUGGUGGUGAAAAUUUCUGAACCAGAGUGCUGACCCCAGGAGUCGGUAGGAGGACUUUGGGAAGUUGGAGUGCAGAAAGGCAACACUAAUCAUUUCAUUCAUUGCUUCCUUGUUAAUGUUUCUUGGGAAUGGUGCAUGACUGGCAUCAUCCAAGGCUUGCUGCAAAGGAGGAGGGAGACACCGAAUGUAAAGGUGAGAACAGAUGAGAAGAAAUCACCCUCCACCCUCAGGUGCCCCUGGACCAGUCUACCUGUGGAUAUGCUGCUCUGUUCUGAGCACACCCAGCACUUAGAGUAAUAAGCUACAGACAACUUCUACUUUCAAACAUAAUGUUUCAAAAUAAUAAGAUUCCAGAAUAGUCUAUUUGUAACCACUUAGCCACUUAAGGUUGAAAUCAGAAAGGAAACAGGAGCAUUUAUGUGGGAAGGUUUUAAAAACUGGUUAGAACUGGUGUUUUCUAUUCAGCCAUUUAGGUUGUGUUUUAGGUUUCUUCUCUCCAUUAUGCAUUGGCUUGUCUUGGGUGGAGGAGCACUGUGUUGGCAGGGUAACAGAGAUGUGAAUCAAGAAAAUGGAAACACCACUCAAUAUUAAAAGCUACUGUCCCCCUAAAAGUGACCACAGAUCAUCAGGUCUUGCCACAUAUUCAGAUUGCAAAGCAACUACAGAAUGCUAAAGAAUAUUCUUUACAACCAGUUACCCCUGGAGUUUUGCUACUUACACUCUGCUCUUAGAAAUGUGACAGUAGACUCCUUUGAAAAAGAAAAUCCUAAUGUUGACAUUAAGAAUCAGCAUUACUCAUAGCAGUAAAUACAGGCUUAUUGAUGUUCUAACAGGUGGCUGCUAAGAGAUCUGUGGGCUCAUAACUAGAGUGUAUGCUAGAACAGACAGGAGGCUCACAGGCCUACAGGAGAGAAAUGGCUCCUUGCCUUUCUUCCCUGUUGGAUUUCUUUAUACAGCUGUGUGUGUUGCAGGGACCAGAGUUUGGUUUCCCUGAAGUAAGCCUAGCAACUUGUUUUUCAGUUCAGCACAGUAAAAUCUGAGCAGAAGAGAACUCCUUGUUGGCCACCCACCUCACAGUCUCUGAAAGGGAACUCUGUGAGGAAGCAUUCCACAUUAGGCAAAUGUACAUUUCUGCAAUCAAAAUGAAAAACACUUGAGCUGAUUCAUCUACAGUUAGCUCUGGCUGAUUGAAAAGAAUGCAGGGAACCCUGCAAGUUUCAGCGAUUUUGGCAGGGGAGGAAACAGCUGUAACGUUGUCGAGGGUCUGUAGGAGCUGUGCAGGCUGCUGACAGCACCAGGAAUGCCCAGCAAUGGGGCUGAUACAUUCCCCUUUGCUCAAACAUGAAUUGAACUUUUGACCCCAUAUGAAGCAUCUGGCUCUUGUGGACCUCAUCCUGUUUUUCCACAGACUGCUUUUCUCUUUCACAACCAGAGGGUAGGAUAUUUUUUAAACUGUUUUGCUUUUACUCAAAGCUAGAUGUUCUUUAGUUGCAGCUGAAAGGGUUGGAAAGUGAGGAAUGAGAACUGGUAUUUCCUGCUAUCCCACAGGGUUAGGGAAAAACCAAGUUGAGGACUGUCCAGUAAACCUUAGAUGUGUUAUCUAGGGAUAGUCAUCAGUUAGGAGGGUUGUUUUCAGUUACUAAAGACCCUCUCGUCUCUCUUUGAGGCUCCUUCUCCCCAACCCCAUCUCCUUGCUGUUCCUAUGCCCAUCCAAGUCAGCACUUGUCUACCAUCCUCCUGCCAGGGCAUCCUCUGCAGCUCCCCGACCAGGCCUCCCCUUCCCAGAAGAACUCCACACAUUGACUUUUCUUUCCCUUGUACUUCACAAUUUAUUUGCAUCUUAAGCUGAUGACCCACAGAAAGAACCAGAUAAACCAAUUUAUUCUAAGGUAUGGCUGACUUGAGUGUUCUGAAUAUAACUCUUCCAAGGGUACAUGCAUUUUAUUAAUACAGGACCAUGAUUCAUCCAACGAAUGUGUCUCUAAUGGUAAAAUUUCUGUCCUCCUGUACCAGCUUGUAUAGAUUAUUGGGGGAAUAGAGAAAGUCUUCCCUGAACCUUUUAAGUCAUUUCAUUCCCUGUGGAUAAACUUCCUACUACUUUCCCACAUUUUAAAAGAUGCACAACUAAGUCACUAUAUCAAAUUUUUACACUUGUGGCAAAAUGCAUUGAAAUCAGUGAGAAUUUUUUUAAAAAAUGGCAUUUUAUUGUCUUCCAUUUAUUUUACGUGAUUAAACUGAGUCACCAAUUGAACAUCCUUAGUCAUAGAUUUGUAAAACUUCCAGAAGUUCUGUAAACCAAAUAAAGCGAAGUAAUGGCAAGUAGAUGGAUUGAAAAAUAAAUUUCUUCAUCUGAUUAAAAAGAAAAUGAAGGGAAGGGAGGGAGGAUGGGAUUAGGAAAGAUAGUAAAAUGAAUCAGUCACAGCUUUCCUACAUUCAUAUAUGAAUACAUGACCAAUGAAACUCACAUAUCAUGUACAACCACAAGAAUGGGAUCCUAAUUAGGAUAAGUUAUACUCCAUGUGUGUUAUGUAUAACAUGUAAAAAUACACUCUACAGUCAUGUACAUCUAAAAAUAACACAUAUUUUUUAAAAAGUAAAGGGUAGCAGUUACCCUCUAGAAGCCAACAAUAAAAGGGAAAAUAUUUCCAAGAUUCUUUGUAAAGGCCAAGCAAUUACCAAGUGGAAACCCUGGGCUCUAUGUUCAACAUUGUGUCAUGAAUUUUUAACUUAGAAGCAAUAAAUGACAGGGACAUCAGUCUUAUUGAAAAUGCUAAUUGAUUAUUAAGCGUUAUUUAUUGUUACCAAAUAAUAGCAUUAAAAUAUUUUCAGUGAUCAACAUUGGAAGUUUCAGCCGUAUGAUUGCAUUAUCAUUUUCUUGGCUGCAAAUGCCUUGUGUCAGGUACCCUAUCUCAUAAACCUCUGUUGCAUCUCACAAAAGGCUUUGUGAAAGGUCAGCAAUUAGUAAACACUUGUUUUCUGAGUUAAGUUUUGUUUUCUUUCUAUUUUGCUUUCUGUUUUCCCUUGGGCUGCAUGGUAUUUAAUAAGCCCAGGGAGGGAAACCGUCUCUUAGAAGUUCUUAUGUAUAAAUAAAUUGAUGUCAAAGGCCCAAUUUCUGUAUAAAGAAACAAAUGCAGUCAACUGAUUUGGUGCACAUUUACAGGGCACCACCUAUGUGGUGGGCCCCUGAAGAAGAAUGAGGCCUUGUUCCUGCUAUUGUCCUUCCCUAGCUAGAUACUAGACCUCACAGUGAUAGAUAUACCUGCUGAGGAGGCUCCCUGUCCUGAAAGGACCUCAACAAGAGGCACAGAGGUAUUCUGAAGGCAAUGCCCUGGAAUGUGAAGCCUGGGACAGGAGUGUAGAGUGGGUCUGAGAGAUCAGACACAUUUUGCACUUGUGGGGGAAUUCCCUCGUUGCAAAUAGAUGGUGAUUUCAAAUUCUUGAUCCAAACCCUACUUCCUCUUUUGAAUCAAGUAGGCUUGUAACUAUUCUUGAGGCUCUGAAAUAGUAAGGGAUCUUCCUAAUUGAAAAUUUAGCUGCUGGUUUCAGAAGCAGAGUUUUGAAGUCAGAAAAAGGAAAGGGACUAGGACAAUAAGCGGAAGCGCAGAACAAGAGGUCCUUAUCUGGUCCAGCUUCCCUUCCACCCAGCCACCACCCAACAUUCCAUCAGAGACAGCCUUAAGAAUGUUGAGAAGAAAUUCCUCACAGUCCCCAAGCCACUUGUUUCUAUCUGAAAACCCUUGGUGAAAUUUACCUAUGUAACUUGCCUAAAUGGCUCUUCAUGAAUUUAGCUAGCAUCAUGCUCACGGAAAUAUCUUAUAUCUAAGUGUAUUCUAGGGCUUCAGCUCUCUUUACUUCUAGUCCAGAAGUUCUCAGACUUAGCAAAUGUGACCUUUAUUCACUGAGGUUUUAGAUAGUACUUGGAAGUGACAUCGACUCUUGGACCAAAUCACUCAACUUUCUUGGUCACUCUCACAGCCAUACAUAUUGAUGCAGUCCUUGGUUUGGGAAAUAUAGUUUGGGCUUAAAUAACCCUAAAACGUCACAUCACUUUUUGGAGAUCUUGCAUGUUCUUCUUUUGUGUUCUUUAAAAUGCAGAGACUACAUUGGAUUUAUUAUUAAAUAUUAUUUAAUAAUAAUAAUAUAUUAUUAAAAUAAUGGCAUUGCCAGCACUGUGUUUGAAGCCAUUUUUCUUCCUUAACCAUUGCUGUAGCAGUGCCAACUGUUGACUCCUUGGAAUGAUCACCUUUGUGCUAAGCGUCCUAGAACAUAGCACUGUAACUUCUUAAGUACCCUACUAGACUUAUUUGGUAAACUAUAUACAGUAGCAAUUCCCAAAAUUUUUGUUUGUUUCAGGGCCCCUUUCUAUAUUCUUGCAAUUUUUGAAAACACAGAAGAGCUUUUGUUUUAUGUAGUUUGGGGUUAUUGCUGUUUACUGUCCAGGAAAUUAACAAUAAAGGUUAAAGCAGCACAACACAUUAUCUGUCUCAUUGAUGAUAUCAUAUGUCAUAUAGCAUUUGCAAAACUCCACAGCCCACUCAGGUAAGAACAAAGGGGAAAGAAACAAAUAAUGGUCAAUAUUAUCAUAACGAUAGCCUUAACUUGGUGAAUACACCAAUACAGUAUUAGAUUAGUGACUCAGCCUAAGGCCCAAAGUAAAUACGAACAGAUGAUGCUAAAUUCUGGUUAACAGUGCUGAGAGGAAGGAAGGAAGGAGAAGAGAUUGAUUUACACAGAAUCCAGGAUGUAUUCAUUAGCUACUGGUUUUGCCUAGUCUCAUACUGCCUACCCUAGAGAAUUGCUUCUGUUGAUUUGAGUUUUUAAAGAAGCAGUCCAAUGAAAUGUUUUGCUGAAUUCUUAGCAAUGAUAAAAGGGAGCACGCUGUUCCCUUUUGCAGUGAUCCAUGGAUAAAAUGGUAAAAUGAUCUGUAGAAGAAAUGCCUAAUGCUUCAGUAAAAACUGUUUCUCCUCAGAAUCUAGUAUGUUUUUAUCUUAUGAACACUGUAGAGCUUACAACUAUGCUUUCAGAUCUGCUUUGGCCAACAGAAAAACAAGAGCUAGAAAUCCAAUUUCUAUUUAUUUAUUAUUCAGAAUCUAGUGGCAUUAUUUUUAUAAGAAAUUUUUGCUGGCAUUAUCUUAUCCCUGGGAUUAUAUUUUACCUUUGCUCUGAUUUUUUCUUAAUGCUUUAUUGUGUCUGUUUCUUAAAUUGAUCUGUGUAUUUAAUCUCCAGUGGGAAGGAAUGAAUUAAUCUGUGAGAAACAAAGAGAUGAGAUCCAGUUGAGAGGGAUUGCCUGGAGUGUUUGGCAGGGUACCAACCAAGUUGGGUAGCUGUAUAAGGUUUCACUAAUGAAAUGGAUCUUAAGUGGAGAUUAGGAGGGAAAGGAAGUGGGUUGCUGGACACACGGAGUGUUUCGUAUGAGAAAUUGGUGGUAACAAAGAUGCAGUUGUGAAGUGAGUGAGUGAUGUGCUAAGCACAGUAAGGAGAUCUGUCUGACUGUGGUCCUGGAGCUGAUUACCUUAUUAUGCUUUUAUGUGAUUGAAGAGGCAGCUGAGGAUACGAGCUCUAGAAAAAUAGAGUAACAGUUUCCUAUUAAGGGAGGAUUCUCACUUCAGUUUCUAAAAUAAAUUACAAGGUAGCAAACUUAAGUCUGAGAAGCCAAUGAGGAGAAUAUUCUGGUACAGUAUAUCAAAGUAAGCCUAUCAACAAAAGCAGGUGAGAAUAUGAAGAAGAAUCUGUGAACUACGGUCAUAUCUUGUAGCUGGUUUAACUUAAACUUCAUUCCCCUGUGACAGCUAUUUAUUGCUGCUCACCAGGUCUGCUCAUUCACCUUUGUCUCCAGAGCCUAGCAUAGUAUAUGGCACAGAGUAGGUGCUUCAUAGUGUGUCAAAUGAAUAAAAAGGGUCCCUGUCUCCCAAGGAAAUACAAUGAAAUAUGUAUAAAUUGCUUUGGAGCUGUUUUAUAAACAAGGGUAAUAGCUAAGGAGCAAUCACAAUGGGAUGGCUGGAGCAACAGUCAUAGAGGAAAACAGAGGCAGAAGCAGGCAGGCAGGUGCUUUGCCUUUCCUCAUUCUGGAGCAGUACAUGGUCUUGCAGGACGGCGGCCCUAGGAUACGGGGAUUUUUAAGUUAGCUGAUUAGGGAACGUUUGACUCCUUCCCUAGUGUGACCAGGGGCCAGUAUACAAUGAAAAUAGAUGUUAGGACUAGGGAUGUAGUUCAGUGAUAGAGUACUUGCCCCAGCAUAAACAAACCCUGGGUUCAAUCCCCAGCACAGAAAAGAAAAUGUGUAUCAGUACUUGGGCUCCAGUCUGCUCUUACCAGUUUAGUGUCUGUGAUUUUAGGUAGGACCAGCUCUUCUCCUGGCAGGGUUGAAACUGGGGACCAAGAUGCAAACUGAACAGCACUAAUAGCCUUAAGAAUUGGGCCAGAACUUUUCCAUAGUAUUCUGCAACCUAUUUUCUUGGAUCCUAGCUCAUAGGGAGGACAGUCUUAAGAACAUUAAAAGGUUGUCCUCUAAGCCUCACACCCCAGUCUACUGGUAAUGUGUUCAAUUUCAACCUGCGAAACCCAUGAGGCUAGCCAUGACAUCACCUAGGACACAAUAAAGGAUUGUUAGGAAGGGUGGGGUGAUCCCUAGGGUGCAGACCGUUUGGUCAAGGCUGCUAAAGUAGGACUAUUUCCAGUGCUAGUUCUUGAAAUUCUAGCCGGAGCAAUUAAAUAGGUGAAAGAAAUUAAAGGGAUAUGGAAAUAGGAAAAGAAGAACUCAAACUAUCAUUAUUUGCUGACAACAUGAUUCUAUACUAAGAGGAUCCCAAGAACUAUACCAGAAAACUUCUAGAAUUAAUAAAUGAAUACAGCAAAAUAGCAGGAUAUAAAAUCAAUACCCAUAAAUCAAAUGCAUUUCUAUACAUCAGUGGUGAAUCCUCUGAAAGAGAAAUUAGGAAAACUACCCAUUCACAAUAGCCUCAAAAAAAAAAAAAAAAAACUUGAUUCCCAAGUAUUUUAUUUUAAUGAAAGAAGUGAAAGACCUCUACAAUGAAAACUACAGAACACUGAAGAAAGAAAUUGAAGAAGACCUUGGAAGACAGAAAGAUCUCCCAUGCUCCUGAAUAGGCAAAACUAAUAUUAUCAAAAUGGCCAUACUACCUGAAGUACUAUAUAGAUUCAGUGCAAUUUCAAUUAAAAUCCCAGUGUCACUCCUUAUAGAAAUAGAAAAGGCAAUCAUGAAACUCAUUUGGAAAAAUAAGAGACCCCGAAUAGCCAAAGCAAUC